AUAGGAGACAAGAAGGCAUCUUCUUGUUUUUAAAAGACCUAGCAAUAGGUAUGCUUAGGGAGGAGCUUGCGUCACAUUAGUUAGUUGGUGGGGUAAAGGCCUACCAAGACUAUGAUGUGUAGCCGGGCUGAGAGGUUGAACGGCCACAUUGGGACUGAGACACGGCCCAAACUCCUACGGGAGGCAGCAGUAGGGAAUUUUCGGCAAUGGAGGAAACUCUGACCGAGCAACGCCGCGUGAACGAUGAAGUAUUUCGGUACGUAAAGUUCUUUUAUUAGGGAAGAAUAAAUGAUGGAAAAAUCAUUCUGACGGUACCUAAUGAAUAAGCCCCGGCUAACUAUGUGCCAGCAGCCGCGGUAAUACAUAGGGGGCAAGCGUUAUCCGGAAUUAUUGGGCGUAAAGGGUGCGUAGGCGGUUAAAUAAGUUUAUGGUCUAAGUGCAAUGCUCAACAUUGUGAUGCUAUAAAAACUGUUUAGCUAGAGUAAGAUAGAGGCAAGUGGAAUUCCAUGUGUAGUGGUAAAAUGCGUAAAUAUAUGGAGGAACACCAGUAACGAAGGCGGCUUGCUGGGUCUUUACUGACGCUGAGGCACGAAAGCGUGGGGAGCAAACAGGAUUAGAUACCCUGGUAGUCCACGCCGUAAACGAUGAGUACUAAACGUUGGGUAAAACCAGUGUUGAAGUUAACACAUUAAGUACUCCGCCUGAGUAGUACGUACGCAAGUAUGAAACUUAAAGGAAUUGACGGGACUCCGCACAAGCGGUGGAUCAUGUUGUUUAAUUCGAAGGUACCCGAAAAACCUCACCAGGUCUUGACAUGCUUCUGCAAAGCUGUAGAAACACAGUGGAGGUUAUCAGUUGCACAGGUGGUGCAUGGUUGUCGUCAGCUCGUGUCGUGAGAUGUUGGGUUAAGUCCCGCAACGAGCGCAACCCUUAUUGUUAGUUACCAGCACGUAAUGGUGGGGACUUUAGCAAGACUGCCAGUGAUAAAUUGGAGGAAGGUGGGGACGACGUCAAAUCAUCAUGCCCCUUAUGACCUGGGCUACAAACGUGAUACAAUGGCUGUUACAAAGGGUAGCUGAAGCGCAAGUUUUUGGCGAAUCUCAAAAAAACAGUCUCAGUUCGGAUUGAAGUCUGCAACUCGACUUCAUGAAGUUGGAAUCGCUAGUAAUCGCGAAUCAGCAUGUCGCGGUGAAAACGUUCACGGGGUUUGUACACACCGCCCGUC
rnacentral:rRNA from 1 species